ensembl:lncRNA
AUGUUCCUCCGUAUGACCAGACCAGCUUCAAUCAUGAAGACGCUAGUGUGUGCUCUUAUUGUGGUGCUUCUCUGCAGUGCCUCAGUGCACUCGCUGACAUGCUACACCUGUGUGGAUGGGGACUGCAAGACCCCAACUCAAUGCCCAGACUCAAGCAACUUCUGCAAAACGGUUUCAACAGCCACUGUGUUCAGCCGGACAUGUGAGGAGUUCUGUGUUCCUGGAGUGAACAUCUACUGCUGCACUUCUGAUCUGUGUGACUGAUUUCUCAACAUCAUCGAGUCAUCGAAUCAGUCACUAAUGUUCAUUGUAAUAGCGUGCACAAAAAAAAAAUUAUAUAUAUAUCUCUGGGUUACUCUAGGUGUUUCAAUUUUCUAAUGACUUUUUACCAUCUGAAUCAACAUGGUUUGCUUUACAUAGCCCUGCUUAAAGGAAUGUCUAAUAACCUUGGUUUCUGUCCCUUCUCUGUAUGAUUUGAUUUAUGAAUUAAAUAAACUUUGCUCAGUAAAAUGCUGUGUAUUUGUG